rnacentral:tRNA from 1 species
UGCGGGGCAAGGCGGCCUUUGGAGCCGCAAUUCGUUGGUUCGAAUCCAACCCGGGCAGCCA